UACGUAGGGUGCGGGCGUUGUCCGGAAUUACUGGGCGUAAAGAGCUCGUAGGUGGUUUGUCGCGUCGUUUGUGUAAGCCCGCAGCUUAACUGCGGGACUGCAGGCGAUACGGGCAUAACUUGAGUGCUGUAGGGGAGACUGGAAUUCCUGGUGUAGCGGUGGAAUGCGCAGAUAUCAGGAGGAACACCGAUGGCGAAGGCAGGUCUCUGGGCAGUAACUGACGCUGAGGA
rnacentral:rRNA from 1 species